ACGAACGCUGGCGGCAUGCCUAACACAUGCAAGUCGAACGAGACCUUCGGGUCUAUGGCGCACGGUGGUAACCGGUGUGAAUCUGCCCAGGUAGGAUAACUCAGGAAACUUGAGCUAGAUACGAUAAUGACUUCGGUCCAAAGAUUUAUCGCCUGAGGAUGAGCCCAGCGUCGGAUUAGCUAGUUGGCUUGAGGUAAAAGGCUACACCAAGGCGACGAUCCGUAGCUGGUCAUUAGAGGAUGAUCAGCCACACUGGGAACUGGAGACACGGCCCAGACUGCUACGGGAGGCAGCAGUGGGGGAAUAUGGAACAAUGGGCGCAAAGCCUGAUCCAGCAAUGCCGCGUGAGUGGAUGAAGGAAUUAGGUUGUAAGCAUACUUUACCCCGGGAUGAUAAUGACAGUAGCUGGGAGAAUAGACACAGGCUAACUCCGUGCCAGCAGCCGCUGUAAUACGGAGGGGCUAGCGUUGUUCGGAAUACUGGGCGUAAGGCGCACGUAUGGCUGGCUUGCAAGUUAGAGGUGAAAUCCCAGGGCUUAACCCUGGAAUUGCCUUUAAAAACUGACAUCGCUAGAAUUGUGGGAGAGGUAAGUGGAAUUCCGAGUGUAGAGGUGAAAUUCGUAGAUAUUCGGAAGAACACCAGUGGGCGAAGGCGACUUACUGGACACAUAUUGACGCUGAGGUGCGAAAGCGUGGGGAGGCAACACAGGAUUAGAUACCCUGGUAGUCCCACGCUGUAAACGAUGAUGACUAGCUGUCGGGGCUGCUUAGCGUUCCGGUGGCGCAGCUAACGCGUUAAGUCAUCCGCCUGGGGAGUACGGCCGCAAGGUUCUAAAACUCAAGAAUAUGACGGGGGCCUGCACAAGCGGUGGAGCAUCGUGGUUUAAUUCGAAGCAACGCGCAGAACCUUACCAGCGUUUGACAUGCCAGGACGGUUUUCCAGAGAUGGAUUCUUUCCCUACGGGACCUGGACACAGGUGGCUGCAUGGCUGUCGUUCAGCCUCGUGUCGUGAGAUGUUGGGUUUAAGUCCAGCAACGAGCGCAACCCUUCGUCUUAGUUGCUACCAUUUAGUUGGGCACUCUAAAGAAACUGCCGGUGAUAAGCCGGAGGAAGUGGGGUGAUUGAACGUCAAGUCCUCAUGGCCCUUAAGCGCUGGGGCUACACACGUGCUACAAUGGCGGUGACAGAGGGCUGCAAACCCCGCGACAGUGGUGAGCUAAUCUCCAAAAGCCGUCUCAGUUCGGAUUGUUCUCUGCAACUCGAGAGCAAUGAAGGCGGAAUCUGCUAGUAAUCCGCGGAUCAGCACGCCUCGCGGUGAAUACGUCCCAGGCCUUGUACACACCGCCCGUCACACCCUUAUGUGAGUUGGUUUCACCCGAAGGUGGUGCUGCUAACCCGCAAGGGAGGCAGUCCAACCACGGUGGGGCUCAGCGACUGGGGGU
rnacentral:rRNA from 1 species